GAUGAAGAACGUAGCGAAAUGCGAUAAGUAAUGUGAAUUGCAGAAUUCAGUGAAUCAUCGAAUCUUUGAACGCACAUUGCGCCCCCUGGUAUUCCGGGGGGCAUGCCUGUCCGAGCGUCAUUACAACGCUCAAGCUCAGCUUGGUGUUGGGCCCCGCCGCCCCGGCGGGCCCUAAAGUCAGUGGCGGUGCCGUCCGGCUCCGAGCGUAGUAAUUCUUCUCGCUCUGGAGGUCCGGUCGUGUGCUCGCCAGCAACCCCCAAUUUUUUUCAGGUUGACCUCGGAUCAGGUAGGGAUACCCGCUGAACUUAAGCAUAUCAAUAAGCGGAGGA
rnacentral:misc_RNA from 1 species